rnacentral:rRNA from 1 species
UGAAUACGAGACGCUAAGGCGUCGAAGUAGUGUAUAUCAGACUUCCAAGAAAAGCUUGCACUGUCAUAGAUAAAAAAUGCCUGUACCAUAACCGACACAGGUGGGUAGGUAGAGUAUACUAAGGGGCGCGAGAUAACUCUCUCUAAGGAACUCGGCAAAAUAACUCCGUAACUUCGGGAGAAGGAGUGCCUUAUUUAUAAGGUUGCAAUAACAAGAUCCAAGCAACUGUUUAUCAAAAACACAGGUCUCCGCUAAGUCGUAAGACGAUGUAUGGGGGCUGACGCCUGCCCAGUGCCAGAAGGUUAAAGAAGUUGGUUAGCAAUUGCGAAGCUGAUAACUGAAGCCCUGGUGAACGGCGGCCGUAACAAUAACGGUCCUAAGGUAGCGAAAUUCCUUGUCGGGUAAGUUCCGACCCGCACGAAAGGCGUAAUGAUUUGGAUACUGUCUCGGAGAGGGGCUCGGUGAAAUAGACUUGUCUGUGAAGAUGCGGACUACCUGCACCAGGACAGAAAGACCCUAUGAAGCUUUACUGUAACUUGAAAUUGAAAUUGGACUUUAUUCGCGCAGCAUAGGUGGGAGGCGUUGAUUAUAAUCUUGCGGGAUUAUUGGAGCCAUCAGUGAGAUACCACUCUUGUAAUGUUAGAUUUCUAACUUUGAAUCAUUAUCUGGUCAAAGAACAGUUUCAGGCGGGCAGUUUGACUGGGGCGGUCGCCUCCUAAAUGGUAACGGAGGCGUACAAAGGUUUCCUCUGAACGGUUAGAAAUCGUAUCUAGAGUGUAAAGGCAUAAGGAAGCUUGACUGUGAGACCUACAGGUCGAGCAGGGACGAAAGUCGGUCUUAGUGAUCUGACGGUACUGAGUGGAAAGGCCGUCACUCAACGGAUAAAAGUUACUCUAAGGAUAACAGGCUGAUCUCCCCCAAGAGUUCACAUCGACGGGGAGGUUUGGCACCUUGAUGUCGGCUCAUCGCAUCCUGGUGCGGUAGUACGUCCCAAGGGUUGGGCUGUUCGCCCAUGAAAGCGGUACGCGAGCUGGGUCCAGAACGUCGUGAGACAGUUCGGUCCAUAUCCGGUGUAGGCGUUAGAAUAUUGAGAGGAGCCUUCUUUAGUAUGAGAGGACCGAGAAGGACAUACCUCUGGUGUACCAGUUAUCGUGCCAACGGUAAACGCUGGGUAGCUAUGUAUGGAGUGGAUAACCGCUGAAAGCAUCUAAGUGGGAAGCCCACCUCAAGAUAAG